rnacentral:tRNA from 2 species
GGCCUCGUAGUUCAACUGAAUAGAAUAUCAGAUUUCGGCUCUGAGGGUUGGGGGUUUGAGUCCCUCCGAGGUCA